AGAAGGGUUUCGGCUCGUAAAGCUCUGUUGUUAAAGAAGAACGUGGGUAAGAGUAACUGUUUACCCAGUGACGGUAUUUAACCAGAAAGCCACGGCUAACUACGUGCCAGCAGCCGCGGUAAUACGUAGGUGGCAAGCGUUGUCCGGAAUUAUUGGGCGUAAAGGGCUCGCAGGCGGUUUCUUAAGUCUGAUGUGAAAGCCCCCGGCUCAACCGGGGAGGGUCAUUGGAAACUGGGGAACUUGAGUGCAGAAGAGGAGAGUGGAAUUCCACGUGUAGCGGUGAAAUGCGUAGAGAUGUGGAGGAACACCAGUGGCGAAGGCGACUCUCUGGUCUGUAACUGACGCUGAGGAGCGAAAGCGUGGGGAGCGAACAGGAUUAGAUACCCUGGUAGUCCACGCCGUAAACGAUGAGUGCUAAGUGUUAGGGGGUUUCCGCCCCUUAGUGCUGCAGCUAACGCAUUAAGCACUCCGCCUGGGGAGUACGGUCGCAAGACUGAAACUCAAAGGAAUUGACGGGGGCCCGCACAAGCGGUGGAGCAUGUGGUUUAAUUCGAAGCAACGCGAAGAACCUUACCAGGUCUUGACAUCCUCUGACAAUCCUAGAGAUAGGACGUCCCCUUCGGGGGCAGAGUGACAGGUGGUGCAUGGUUGUCGUCAGCUCGUGUCGUGAGAUGUUGGGUUAAGUCCCGCAACGAGCGCAACCCUUGAUCUUAGUUGCCAGCAUUCAGUUGGGCACUCUAAGGUGACUGCCGGUGACAAACCGGAGGAAGGUGGGGAUGACGUCAAAUCAUCAUGCCCCUUAUGACCUGGGCUACACACGUGCUACAAUGGC
rnacentral:rRNA from 1 species